AGUGAACGCUGGCGGUAGGCCUAACACAUGCAAGUCGAACGGCAGCACAGAGGAGCUUGCUCCUUGGGUGGCGAGUGGCGGACGGGUGAGGAAUACAUCGGAAUCUACUCUGUCGUGGGGGAUAACGUAGGGAAACUUACGCUAAUACCGCAUACGACCUACGGGUGAAAGCAGGGGAUCCUCGGACCUUGCACGAUUGAAUGAGCCGAUGUCGGAUUAGCUAGUUGGCGGGGUCAAGGCCCACCAAGGCGACGAUCCGUAGCUGGUCUGAGAGGAUGAUAAGCCACACUGGAACUGAGACACGGUCCAGACUCCUACGGGAGGCAGCAGUGGGGAAUAUUGGACAAUGGGCGCAAGCCUGAUCCAGCCAUACCGCGUGGGUGAAGAAGGCCUUCGGGUUGUAAAGCCCUUUUGUUGGGAAAGAAAUCCAUCUGGUUAAUACCCGGGUGGGAUGACGGUACCCAAAGAAUAAGCACCGGCUAACUUCGUGCCAGCCGCCGCAGUAA
rnacentral:rRNA from 1 species